UGCUGUCUACUGUUUAACAGGUACCCAGACAGCACAUGUACGUCUGGCCGACGUCGGCCCAAUAUCGAAACGUCGGCCUCUAUACCUAAAACAUCUAUAAAACAUCGGCCUGGCGGAGGCCGAUAUAAUUUGGUCAGUGCUCUGUUCUCCAGCUCAUCAAUCGUCGGCCCUGAGUUGGUUCACGACCGCGGGCCGAUGCCGCGCUUCUCUGUGUGCGCGUGCCCAGUAUUCGUCUCUUUUAGCCACCCAGAGAGAGAGAAGAGGAUAAUCCCAGCGACAUCUGUGGCUCUGAGGCUUUCAGAAAUAAUCCGGUGAAAUAAUAUGAUGUUUGUGUAAAUGCUGUGUGUGCGUUGAGUCCUGCGCGAGCGGGGAGCAGAGUUGCCAUGGAAACGGGGCAUCAACACAAAAACCGUUACUGGCAAGCAGUAAUCUCCGUCUCUCGCUGCAGUUUACACUGUUUUGGAAACGGUUUAGUGUCUUCGGAAAAGUCCGUUAUCAUUUUAGCAGUUUUCAGGUAGGCUAACUAUAUAGAUUGAGCUCUUGUUGAUGAAACUCUGGGCUUUUAAUCAAAUCUUCGAUUUGAUUAAAACAAAAUGAUUUU